AACACAAUAAUCUUUGGUGAAUGAAAUUUGGAAUCAGACCUUUUUUUGGCAUUACAACAUAUGACAUGGAAGGACGGCCUUUUCAUCCUCCACCAGUCGCCUACAGUAUUUUAUUUGUCAUCAACCAUUUCUAUGUUUAAUUCUCAUUUAUUGUGAAAUGAUUUAUUUGAGCACUUUAGCGAGCUACUCUUUGUUUUUGCAUUCAGUGACAAUGGGUAGGUGCAACCUUCGGAGAAAAGUGUGUCAAGGCAGCAAUUAUAGUUGGUAACAUGAGCUGCCCCAGUCGCAUAGCAGUGUUCUGGCCAAGAUGGUACGGCACAUAGUUGCUCGCCCAAAUGAAGGGAAUGUUGAUCUGGUAACAAUCCUUAUCUGAUCUUUUGUUAUAACUGGCCAACUGAGUUUAGUACUCCCUCCUUACCAAAUAUAAGAUGUUUUUGCAGUUCAAAUUGAACUACAAAAACAUCUUAUAUUUUGAUACAUAGGUAGUAGCUUCCAUAGAAAAUGCAUACAUGAUGUCCAAGGAUGCUACUUGGCAUUUCCGUCUAGAGGCUCACAUGUUUCUUGAUAUCUUCUCAUGUUCGACAUCUGCUUAGCACCUCCGUUUAGAGGCACCGCGCGAUUGUUAUUUGGUCAAUACAGUCAUUUUAUGACUCUGGCAUGAUCGUAUUGGACCAGGGAUUGUUUACUGUACAAUAAUAAUUGUACACAGCUUCUGUCAAAUAAUCGACCAUUCAGUUUGAUGCUGAUGAAUCUGAAUCACAACUUCUGUUGAAUUCUGGUGGUUAGAGAUACAGCAAGAAUUUCGAUUUGGCAGGUCCCUCACGGAGACACUGGAUGAGUUCGCCUUCAGCAUCCUCCUACAGUUUGACAAGUCCAUGAGUGCCACGCCUACAGCCCCAGGUCAAGAGCAAUGCCUUCUUCAAGGUGCCAACCAAAAUGACACCUCUCCACACAUUUACCACUGUAUUGUACAGAGAACCAAGUGCCUUGACCUACGCUAUAAAGAGAGCAUGUGAAAACAAAGCUAACAAAGCUGAAGUUGUUGCUCAGGAUGAGAAGGAAAGUGAUCUUCGAGCAACACUAGACCUGGACCUAGAACCACUGGCUCACUUAGAACACGAGUUAGUCGAUUGUUGUGAUAACAGUAAGGGUUGAGAGUGAGCGGGGAGAAGGUUAGAGUUUGUUUGUUCAGUUACAGUUCUGAGCAGAAUAAUUUUUCUAUUUUAGAAAAUGUGGCAAAUUGCAUUUCAUCAGAGAUGGCUUUGCUGUAAA